UACAGAGGGUGCGAGCGUUGUCCGGAAUCACUGGGCGUAAAGGGUGCGUAGGCGGCCUGAUAAGUAGGGGGUGAAAUCCUGUGGCUUAACUGCAGGGCUGCCUCCUAGACUGUUAGGCUCGAGCACGGUAGAGGCAGAUGGAAUUCCCGGUGUAGCGGUGGAAUGCGUAGAGAUCGGGAAGAACAUCGGUGGCGAAGGCGGUCUGCUGGGCCGUUGCUGACGCUGAGGCGCGACAGCGUGGGGAGCAAACAGG
rnacentral:rRNA from 1 species